rnacentral:misc_RNA from 1 species
GAUGAAGAACGUAGCGAAAUGCGAUAAGUAAUGUGAAUUGCAGAAUUCAGUGAAUCAUCGAAUCUUUGAACGCACAUUGCGCCCGGCAGUAUUCUGCCGGGCAUGCCUGUUCGAGCGUCAUUUCAACCAUCAAGCCCCAGCGCUUGUGUUGGGAGCCUGCGGCUGCCCGCAGGCCCUGAAAACCAGUGGCGGGCUCGCUAGUCACACCGAGCGCAGUAGCACAUCUCGCUCAGGGCGUGCGGCGGGCUCCUGCCGUGAAACCCCCCACUGUAACCCCAAAGGUUGACCUCGGAUCAGGUAGGAAUACCCGCUGAACUUAAGCAUAUCAAUAAGCGGAGGA